rnacentral:lncRNA from 1 species
CGCGCCCCUGCGCUGGUACCGGGCGCAGCCUGCAGGCUCCAGGCAGCAUCCGGGGCCUUGGUUCUUGCCGGGAGAAACCGUCCGCAGACCUCAGUGCCAGGAACAUCCUGGACACCCUGUUCCCCAGCUUCCACUUCAUCCUACGUGUAGCAGAGAAGAAAGAGCUGUAUGGGGAGGAAGGACAGUAAAUAUUCGAGGGAUAGAAAAGGAGGUACAAAAAAGAUGGCAUGCUGUGCAGACAUUUACUGCAGACCGAAUGGACAGGAGGCGAGUAGGAGCUUGGCGCAUCUGUGGAACAGAAGGAAAAGCAGCACGGCUGAGUGCGGUCCUCCAGCGGGCAGCGAUGGCGUCUGAGGUCAGAGGACCCCGGUGGUGCGGAGGGAGUAGCUGGCGGUGGUGGAGAAGCAGCGCUGGGGAGCGAGAAGACAGGGGAAGUGCGAAAUGGUUAUUCUGAAGACGAGGAAGGGAAAAUCGGCCACAUCCGGAAGGUUCCUGCACAACCUCCCAUUCGCGCAGCCCACAAUCCCAGGAUGUGAGGACGGGAACCGGGAUUCUAAGAUGCACGCCAGCAUCAAGUCCUCAGUGUACCACAUCAUCGCGUCGUUCAGAUGGCACUGUUCAGUGUAUUCUUUUAAAAGUUAAGUUGCAUUCCUAAAUUACAGUUUUAAAGCAUGUUUCCGAAUAAGUGAGGGCUCCCUGUAC